rnacentral:rRNA from 1 species
GACGAACGCUGGCGGCGUGCUUAACACAUGCAAGUCGAACGGAAAGGCCCUGCUUUUGUGGGGUGCUCGAGUGGCGAACGGGUGAGUAACACGUGAGUAACCUGCCCUUGACUUUGGGAUAACUUCAGGAAACUGGGGCUAAUACCGGAUAGGAGCUCCUGCUGCAUGGUGGGGGUUGGAAAGUUUCGGCGGUUGGGGAUGGACUCGCGGCUUAUCAGCUUGUUGGUGGGGUAGUGGCUUACCAAGGCUUUGACGGGUAGCCGGCCUGAGAGGGUGACCGGGCAAAAGGGGGCAGGGACGCGGGCCAGACCCGCACGGGGGGGCAGAGGGGGGAAAUGUGCAAAAGGGGCGGGAGGCUGAAGCCGGAACGCCCGGGGGGGGGAGGGGGGUUUGGGGUUGAAAACACGUUUUCCCGGGGAAGAAAGGGGGGGGGAGGGAAAGGGAAAAAGAGGCACGGCCAAACUACGUC